UGUUAAAAGCAUCUGUAUUUACCAUAUAGGAUAAGGCAGUGUAAGUCUACUUCUUUUAAGUAGGCAAAACAAAUCUCAAGCCGGGGGUGUGGUAGUACAACAUACCUACAAUCCCAGCACUGGGAGGCCACAGCAGAAGGAUGGAAAAUUCAAGGUCUUCCUGGGCUAGUGAAAUUCAGUCUCAAAAUUCCAAAAAAAUAACAAAGCAAACAAAAAAGCUACAAAUUCCUACAGACUAGAAUUGAGGAUAACAAGAACUCAGUCAAAGCCAGAGAAAAGGUUUGACCAGAGAAAAGCAGUUGUUUUUUGGCUCAAGGUUAAAGUGGGAAUGCAGGCAGACUUCCCUGGAAAAGGAAACAGUUCUCUGUGACUAUGCCUGAAUACUGAAACAGGCUAAGAUGUUCCUAACCCUUUAGAAGCUUAGAAUACUUAGUCUUUUAAAGAUACAAAAGACAAGUACUGGCUACAACUAUCUAUCCAAAGCUUAUCAAAUUCUAAACCAAAGGCUAAAGAUAUUCCAUGGUAAAAGGAAUACAUAAACAGGACCUAACGAAGUUGAGUUGAGGAAGAGGAAUGCAUCUCUGAACUUUAUGUGAAAUACAGAAAGACAGGCCAGUUUCUAAAAUAUCAAAUUGUCAAUAAAUGUACUUCUUAGAAAGACAUUCAGAGUUUUUUGGUGCCUAGCCCUGAAAGUUUUGCUCUU